GCACCGGCGGACGGCUCAGUAACACGUGGACAACCUGCCCUCGGGAGGGGGAUAACCCCGGGAAACUGGGGCUAAACCCCCAUAGGAGAUGGAUACUGGAAUGUUCCAUCUCCGAAAGUCCGCAAGGAGCCCGAGGAUGGGUCUGCGGCGGAUUAGGUAGUUGGUGGGGUAACGGCCUACCAAGCCUAAGAUCCGUACGGGCCAUGGGAGUGGGAGCCCGGAGAUGGACCCUGAGACAAGGGUCCAGGCCCUACGGGGCGCAGCAGGCGCGAAACCUCCGCAAUGCGGGAAACCGCGAUGGGGUCAGCCGGAGUGCCGAUGCUUGCAUCGGCUGUCGGGGAGCCUAAAAAGCUCCCCAUAGCAAGGGCCGGGCAAGGCCGGUGGCAGCCGCCGCGGUAAUACCGGCGGCCCGAGUGGCGGUCACUAUUAUUGGGCUUAAAGCGUCCGUAGCCGGGUUGGGAAGUCCUCCGGGAAAUCUGGCCGCUUAACGGUCAGAAUGCCGGAGGAUACUCCCAGCCUAGGGAGCGGGAGAGGCCGAGGGUAUUCCCGGAGUAGGGGUGAAAUCCUAUAAUCCCGGGAGGACCACCUGUGGCGAAGGCG
rnacentral:rRNA from 1 species